AGGUUCCGGUUCUGUGGUGAUCUGGACUGUCCCGACUGGGUCCUGGCAGAAAUCAGCACGCUGGCCAAGAUGGUUAAGUGCACAGGGUCUACACUGGGUGGAGGAGGGGUGUUGGGCUGGGGAUUGUGGCUGUAGAGGAUGGUGAGGUUUCUCUGGGGCUAGGGCCUCAGUGCUCUCAGCCUGUGCUGCCAUGCUUUGUGACCUUGAUCAGUGGCUGGCCUGCUCUGAGCCUGUCCCCAGGAAGGAGGGGUGAGGUUUGCCAGCCUGGCUGAUGUAAGGACUUCCCUUCCAGUCCUCUGUGAAGUUGCGGCUGCUCUGCAGCCAGGUACUAAAGGAGCUGCUGGGACAGGGGAUUGAUUAUGAGAAGAUCCUGAAGCUCACGGCUGACGCCAAGUUUGGUGAGUAUCCCGCUGAGUCUAUAAGCCCCAGGCAACCCUGGGAACUUGGCCUGGUGCCUGGUACAGAGUGGCCCCCCACCCCUCCCAGCAGCAUCCUUAACUUACCUUCCCUAGUGGAGGAGCAUGAGGGAAAGAAAGACCGACAGUCCCACCUUCCUGUCCUCUGUCAGCUCCUGGUGGAGCAGUAGCAGUGCCUGUGGCUCCAGGAGGCCUGGGGGCUUUGAGCUAAAGUUAAUAGGGCAACAGGGAGGUGGCUGGACCCACAGUGACACCCCCUGCCCCACCCACGGGUCCCUCAGAGUCAGGCGAUGUGAAGGCCACAGUGGCAGUGCUGAGUUUCAUCCUCUCCAGUGCGGCCAAGCACAGUGUCGAUGGCGAAUCCUUGUCCAGUGAACUGCAGCAGCUGGGGCUGCCCAAAGGUACGGGUUGUGGGUUGGCAGCUGGGCAGCCUGUCGGCCAAGGGCUGCUAGAGAGGGGACAGGCCCUGAGGUGUACCCUGCCCUGUUUGGGCCAGGAGCCCAAGCCCAGCCCCCACCUGCUACCUCCAGAGCUUCUCCAUUCUACCCCCAGAGCACGCGGCCAGCCUGUGCCGCUGUUAUGAGGAGAAGCAAAGCCCCUUGCAGAAGCACUUGCGGGUCUGCAGCCUACGCAGUAAGUAUGAGGCCAGCCAGGGUCCGGGCUCAUUCUAGAAGGUGCACGCAGCACGCAAAGUGCAUGGAGAGUCCAGGGAGACGACUUAACCACGGUCACAUGGUUACUAGCAGCCGUAGAGCUGGGACCUGGCCCUGGGUCUCCUGACUCCCCCCAAGGUUUCUUGUCACUGAGGUCUGCUGUGGGUGAUGCGAACUGAUUAUCGGGCACCUGCCCUGUUCUGAGCCUGGGUCAGCAGGAUGGGAGCUUCUUAGAGGCCACAUAGCCUUGAAUGGUUGAGAGCUGAGCCAGGGUGUCGGCUGAGGUCUACUUGGCUUGCCUGCUUUGAUCCUGAGAGCCACCCACCCCAUCUCACAGUGAAUAGGUUGGCAGGUGUGGGCUGGCGGGUGGACUACACCCUGAGCUCCAGCCUGCUGCAAUCCGUGGAAGAGCCCAUGGUGCACCUGCGGCUGGAGGUGGCAGCUGCCCCAGGGACCCCAGCCCAGCCUGUUGCCAUGUCCCUCUCAGCAGACAAGUUCCAGAUCCUCCUGGCAGAACUGAAGCAGGCCCAGACCCUGAUGAGCUCCCUGGGCUGAGGAGAAGGGUGUUCCAGGCCUGUGUGGAGCCGCCCUGCCCAUAUGGAGUCACGCCCUCUGAACUGCUCUUCGGGAGGCAGCCCUGGUUCUAGGAUGCUGAGGCCCUGGCCCGGACUCUGGCCUCCCAGAUCCCCAGCUGCCUCACUUCUCUCUUGAGAACUUGGCUCAGGGCUCCUGAGGACCUUUCCCAGCAUUACCUUCCCUUCCCUUGAAAGGCAAUUGUUGGCUGUUUUCAUAAGCAGGAAAAAUAAACAGAAGUAUAAC
rnacentral:sRNA from 1 species